rnacentral:lncRNA from 8 species
AUGCACACUCCAUCAUAUAGAAAUGCACCUAGUCCAAGUGCACAUACACAUACACAACACAACACAGCACCACAACACCACAACACAGCACCACAACACCACAACACAGCACCACAACACCACAACACAGCACCACAACACAGCACCACAACACAGCACCACAACACCGCACCACAACACCACAGCACCACACCACAGCACCACAACAACACAGCACCGCACCACAACACCACAACACAGCACCACAACACAACACAGCACCACACCACAGCACCACAACAACACAGCACCGCACCACAACACCACAACACAGCACCACAACACAACACCACAACACAGCACCACACCACAGCACCACAACAACACAGCACCGCACCACAACACCACAACACCGCACCACAACACCACAACACAGCACCACACCACCACAACACAGCCCCACCACAACACAGAACCACACCACAACACCACCGCACCACACCACCACAACACAGCACCACAACACCACAACACAGCAUCACACCACUACAUCACAACAUAGCACCACACCACAACACAGCACCACACCACCACAAAACCACAACACAGCACCACACCAGCACAACACAGCACCACGCCACAACACCACCGCACCACACCACCACAACACAGCACCACAACACCACAACACAGCAUCACAACACACCACAACACCACAGCACCGCACCACACCACCACACCACACCACAAUACAGCACCACAACACCACAACACAGCACCACAACACCACAACACACCACAACACAGCACCACACCCCAACACAGCACCACAACACCACAACACAGCACCACAACACCACAACACAGCACCACAACACAGCACCACACCCCAACACCACAACAACACCACACCGCAACCACACCACAACACCACAACACAGCACCACAACACCACACCACAACACCAUAACACAGCAUCACAACACCACACCACAACACAGCACCACAACACCACAACACAGCACCACAACACCACACCACAACACCAUAACACAGCAUCACAACACCACAACACAACCCCACAACACCACAACACAACACCACAACACCACACCACAACACCACAACACAGCAUCACAACACCACAACACAACACCACACCACAACACAGCACCACAACACCAUAACACAGCAUCACAACACCACAACACAACACCACACCACAACACCACAACACAACACCACACCACAACACCACAACACAACACCACAACACCACACCACAACACCACAACACAGCAUCACAACACCACAACACAACAUCACAACACCACAACACAACACCACAACACAGCACCACAACACCACAACACAACACAACACAGCACCACAGCACAGCACCACAACACCACAACACAGCACCACAACACACCACAACACCACAGCACCACAACACCACAACUCAGCAGACGGAACCUCGACAUGAUUUAUUGA